UCGAGGAUCUUCGGCAAUGAGCGCAAGCUUGACCGAGCGACGCCGCGUGGGCGAUGAAGGCCUUCGGGUUGUAAAGCCCUGUCGAGGGGGAGAAAAGGAAACUUGAUCUAUCCCUGGAGGAAGCACGGGCUAAGUUCGUGCCAGCAGCCGCGGUAAGACGAACCGUGCGAACGUUAUUCGGAAUCACUGGGCUUAAAGGGCGCGUAGGCGGGUUGCCAAGUCUGUGGUGAAAUCCUCCGGCUCAACCGGAGAACGGCCGUGGAUACUGGCGACCUCGAGGGGGGUAGGGGCUUGCGGAACUGUGCGUGGAGCGGUGAAAUGCGUUGAUAUGCACAGGAACUCCGGUGGCGAAGGCGGCGAGCUGGACCCUUUCUGACGCUGAGGCGCGAAAGCCAGGGGAGCGAACGGGAUUAGAUACCCCCGUAGUCC
rnacentral:rRNA from 1 species